rnacentral:rRNA from 1 species
GACGAACGCUGGCGGCGUGCUUAACACAUGCAAGUCGAACGGAAAGGCCCUGCUUUUGUGGGGUGCUCGAGUGGCGAACGGGUGAGUAACACGUGAGUAACCUGCCCUUGACUUUGGGAUAACUUCAGGAAACUGGGGCUAAUACCGGAUAGGAGCUCCUGCUGCAUGGUGGGGGUUGGAAAGUUUCGGCGGUUGGGGAUGGACUCGCGGCUUAUCAGCUUGUUGGUGGGGUAGUGGCUUACCAAGGCUUUGACGGGUAGCCGGCCUGAGAGGGUGACCGGCACCAUUGGGACUGAGAUACGGCCCAGAGUCCUACGGGAGGCAGCAGUGGGGAAUAUUGCACAAUGGGCGGAAGCCUGAUGCAGCAACGCCGCGUGCGGGAUGACGGCCUUCGGGUUGUAAACCGCUUUCGCCUGUGACGAAGCGUGAGUGACGGUAAUGGGUAAAGAAGCACCGGCUAACUACGUG